rnacentral:snRNA from 1 species
UUGCUCGCUUCAGUAGCACAUAUACUAAAAUUGUAAUGAUACAGAAGAGAUUAGUAUGGCCCCUUUAAAAAAAAAUCACCUUAGGGCUUGUUAAAACACACAUUCCU